rnacentral:rRNA from 1 species
GCAAGUCGAACGGAUGUAGCAAUACAUUAGUGGCAGACGGGUGAGGAAUAUAGAGGAAUCUACCUAGCAGUAAGGAAUAACUUUGGGAAACCAAAGCUAAUGCCAUAUAUUACCCUACGGGGGAAAGAUUUAUCGCUGUUAGAUGAGCCUCUAUCGGAUUAGCUAGUUGGUAGGGUAAAAGCCUACCAAGGCUACGAUCCGUAGCUGGUCUUAGAGGAUGAUC